rnacentral:lncRNA from 1 species
ACUCCUACGGGAGCCGGGCUCCACCGCCAUCAGCAAGCGCUGCUCCGGUCGGACUCCUACGGGAGCCGGGCUCCGCCGCCAACGUCAAAACAGCUCCGCUCGGACUCCUAUGGGAGCCGGGCUCCGCUCUCAAUAUCAAUCGCUGGUAAGCUCAAUCCGGACUCCUAUCAGAGCCGGACUUCACCCUUGACUUUGUUUGCAGCGCAGCUCCACCCGGACUCCUACGGGAGC